GGCACGCAGCUACACAAAGCUGCAAAGACAUUAUGUGGAAUCAAGUCCAUCAGGCCUCACCAUUACCCUGCAGAGAAGAGAGAAGGGAAUCUGCUAGACUGUUAGCAGUCCCCACCAUAGGUUAGCAAACUUGAACAGCAUAACCCAGUUUUCAGCGCAUGGAAGCUCUCCUUGACUUCUCAGAUGGUUCUCACCCAGAACCAUGUCGGAGCUGGCGAUGGUACCGUCAGGGCACGGACUUUGUAUGAUUCCAAGUCGAAGAGUUUCUUCUGGGACAGCUCUCUGCUGUGGCCAGGGAGUGCAGUGGAGGGUGGCCCAAGUACUUGGGCCCUGCACCCCAUGGGAGACCAGGAGAAGUACCUGGCUCCUGCCAUCGGAUCAGCGUGGUACGCCGGCCGCGGCGGCCAUUGGAGGAUGAACCAAUGGCAAAGGAAGACCUUUCUCUCUGUCUCUCUCUCUCUCACUGUCCACUCUGCCUGUCAAAAAAGUUUCUUUUUUUAACCGUUGAGAAGUUACAUAUGUGGAUUGAUUUUAAAACCAUUUCAAAUCCGUUUUUGACCAAAAAUACAUGAUCACUCAAUAGCCAAUCUUUAACCAGUGUCCAUUGAAUACUUACUAAAUGAAAGUCACUAUUCUCAUUUUCUGUGAAACAUCAUUACAUAAAUAGGAAAAAAAAAUUACAUGCUGUCACAGGUGUAUAUGUCAAUGGGUGAAGACAGAUAGUAGAUAAAGUCAGAUCUCAAUACCUGUG